GAUGAACGCUGGCGGCGUGCCUAAUACAUGCAAGUCGAGCGAACAGACGAGGAGCUUGCUCCUCUGACGUUAGCGGCGGACGGGUGAGUAACACGUGGAUAACCUACCUAUAAGACUGGGAUAAUUUCGGGAAACCGGAGCUAAUACCGGAUAAUAUAUUGAACCGCAUGGUUCAAUAGUGAAAGACGGUUUUGCUGUCACUUAUAGAUGGAUCCGCGCCGCAUUAGCUAGUUGGUAAGGUAACGGCUUACCAAGGCGACGAUGCGUAGCCGACCUGAGAGGGUGAUCGGCCACACUGGAACUGAGACACGGUCCAGACUCCUACGGGAGGCAGCAGUAGGGAAUCUUCCGCAAUGGGCGCAAGCCUGACGGAGCAACGCCGCGUGAGUGAUGAAGGUCUUCGGAUCGUAAAACUCUGUUAUUAGGGAAGAACAAAUGUGUAAGUAACUAUGCACGUCUUGACGGUACCUAAUCAGAAAGCCACGGCUAACUACGUG
rnacentral:rRNA from 1 species